UCUGGCGACCGGCGCACGGGUGAGUAACACGUAUCCAACCUGCCCUUUACUCGGGGAUAGCCUUUCGAAAGAAAGAUUAAUACCCGAUGGCAUAAUGAUUCCGCAUGGUUUGAUUGUUAAAGGAUUCCGGUAAAGGAUGGGGAUGCGUUCCAUUAGGUUGUUGGUGAGGUAACGGCUCACCAAGCCUUCGAUGGAUAGGGGUUCUGAGAGGAAGGUCCCCCACAUUGGAACUGAGACACGGUCCAA
rnacentral:rRNA from 1 species